rnacentral:rRNA from 1 species
AGGAUGAACGCUGGCGGCGUGCUUAACACAUGCAAGUCGAACGAUGAAGGCUGGAGCUUGCUCUGGCUGGAUUAGUGGCGAACGGGUGAGUAACACGUGAGUAACCUGCCCCAGACUCUGGGAUAAGCGCUGGAAACGGCGUCUAAUACCGGAUACGAGCUUCCACCGCAUGGUGAGGAGCUGGAAAGAAUUUCGGUCUGGGAUGGACUCGCGGCCUAUCAGCUUGUUGGUGAGGUAAUGGCUCACAAGGCGACGACGGGUAGCCGGCCUGAGAGGGUGACCGGCCACACGUGGGACUGAGACGACGGCCCAGACUCCUACGGGAGGCAGCGAGUAGGGGAAUAGUUGACACAAGUGGG